GACGCCGCCAACCCGGAAGUAGCUCCGCAGUCUGAAACAACGAUAGCUCAGAGGAUGACAUGCUGUGGGAGCAAAAUAGGAUCACUCUUCAUGAAUUCAAGAGGCACCAGAACUGGACCAAGUCACCAAAGGUAGCUACGAUGGAUAUUUUUCUGAGUGGAGAUGAGUCAGAUGCUUCUUUUGAAGUCUUGGCCUAGGAUGCGAAAUGUUGGCGAAGGAAACAGGCGAUGAAGAAGUGAUCGAUAAGUAUGGCUUUCAGCAAAGGAACUUUGAGGGGCAAAUGGUGGUGGACUUCGCAAA